rnacentral:rRNA from 1 species
GAGAUGUUGGGUUAAGUCCCGUAACGAGCGCAACCCUAUCCUUAUUUGCCGACACUACUAGGUGGAAGUAUAAGGAGACUGCCGGUGAUAAACCGGAGGAAGGCGGGGACGACGUCAAGUCAUCAUGGCCCUUACGACCAGGGCUACACACGUGCUACAAUGGGAAGGACAAAGAGCGCGAAGCCGCGAGGUGUAGCUAAUCUCAUAAACCUUUUCGUAGUCCGGAUUGGAGUCUGCAACUCGACUCCAUGAAGUCGGAAUCGCUAGUAAUCGUAGAUUAGAAUGCUACGGUGAAUACGUUCCCGGGUCUU